rnacentral:rRNA from 1 species
CCUACGGGUGGCAGCAGUGGGGAAUAUUGGACAAUGGGCGAAAGCCUGAUCCAGCCAUGCCGCGUGUGUGAAGAAGGCCUUCGGGUUGUAAAGCACUUUCAGUGGGGAAGAAAGCCUUGGGGCUAAUACCCUCGAGGAAGGACAUCACCCACAGAAGAAGCACCGGCUAACUCCGUGCCAGCAGCCGCGGUAAUACGGAGGGUGCGAGCGUUAAUCGGAAUUACUGGGCGUAAAGCGCGCGUAGGCGGUCUGAUAAGCCGGUUGUGAAAGCCCCGGGCUCAACCUGGGAACGGCAUCCGGAACUGUCAGGCUAGAGUGCAGGCGAGGAAGGUAGAAUUCCCGGUGUAGCAGUGAAAUGCGUAGAGAUCGGGAGGAAUACCAGUGGCGAAGGCGGCCUUCUGGACUGACACUGACGCUGAGGUGCGAAAGCGUGGGUAGCAAACAGGAUUAGAUACCCUAGUAGUC